CACGUAUUUCUGUGUUCAUUGACAUGAUAUUAUUCAGAAUUUUGGUUACUGAAAUGCGUUUUAUUUAAGAAUAUGGAGUUUAAGUAAUUCAGUGAGUCUUUUUAUCUUUUGAUAGCUAGGAAAUGGAAUGUGUCAGUCCUCACCAGUGAUGUGCCAUCUGCAGGAACAAGCUCAGAGGUUUAUAUUACAUUGUAUGGGGAUCGUGGCAGUUCGGGUCCUAUUUGGCUUGAUGGAGAGAAGGGAAAAUUAUUUCAGAGAGGCAAUGAAGACAUCUUCACACCACACGAGCCUCUCGUCUCUCUCUCCCUGGUCUGGCCUGGAGGCAGCCCUGCAGAGCUGAGCUGAAAUCACGAGCUGACAAUCACUAAAGAGCUGACAGUCUCUGCACGGGCCCUCCUGCCAGCAGCUGAGGGAAGACACCAGGCCCCGGGAAGACGAUCCUCCACGGGACCACCUCUCUGGACCGGUCACAGCUUCCUCAGUCAGAGCUACUGACCCCACACCAGCUGCAUUAAUGGGACUACAGUAUUAAAAAUUAAAUGAAGAAGUGAAGAACUAGGAUAUGGGAUCAAUACUAGAAGCAUAAGACAUCUCUACAAAAUAUGUGUAGGACAUACAAAUGCAGGAAGCUCCCCUGCCUGGCACUGUGAAGAGAUUGCAGAACCUUUUCUCAGGGGAGCAGUUCUCUUUCCCUGCACAUCGAUGGCUGGCCAAAGACCAGGCUGGUGGGGAAAUAUCUGUGGAGCUUCCUGUUUUACAGCAGGGUCAGCCUAUUCUUCCAGGUAAGCACAAUACCACAUCAGCAAAGUCAGACCCCAGACUGAUGUCGAUAGAGGUGAGUUCAUCGUUUUUCAUCAGGCCCUUUAUUACUUUUUGGCUGCUACAACACUUUUUCUGCUUUGUUUUCCUCUUGUUACUGUGCAUACUCAGGUAA
rnacentral:lncRNA from 13 species